GACGAACGCUGGCGGCGUGCCUAACACAUGCAAGUCGAACGAGGUCCAUCCGGUGGCAACACUGGGGAAGACCUAGUGGCGAACGGGUGAGUAACACGUGAGGAACCUGCCCCGAAGACCGGGAUAACCCUCCGAAAGGAGAGCUAAUACCGGAUACCCCCACCGGACCGCAUGAUCUGGUGAGGAAAUGGAUUCCGCUUCGGGAGGGCCUCGCGGCCUAUCAGCUUGUUGGUGGGGUAACGGCCCACCAAGGCUUCGACGGGUAGCUGGUCUGAGAGGACGAUCAGCCACACUGGGACUGCGACACGGCCCAGACUCCUACGGGAGGCAGCAGUGGGGAAUAUUGGACAAUGGGCGCAAGCCUGAUCCAGCCAUGCCGCGUGAGUGAUGAAGGUCUUAGGAUUGUAAAGCUCUUUCACAGAUGAAGAUAAUGACGGUAGUCGGAGAAGAAGCCCCGGCUAACUUCGUGCCAGCCGCCGCAGUAAAAC
rnacentral:rRNA from 1 species